GAUGAACGCUGGCGGCGUGCCUAAUACAUGCAAGUCGAGCGGACCAAAGAGAGCUUGCUCUCUGAGGUUAGCGGCGGACGGGUGAGUAACACGUGGGUAACCUGCCUGUAAGACGGGGAUAACUUCGGGAAACCGAAGCUAACACCGGAUGAUAAAGAGAAACGCCUGUUUCUUUUUUGAAAGUCGGCCUUGUGCUGACGCUUACAGAUGGGCCCGCGGCGCAUUAGCUAGUUGGUGAGGUAACGGCUCACCAAGGCGACGAUGCGUAGCCGCCCGGAGAGGGUGAUCCGACACACUGGGACUGAGCAACGGCCCAGACUCCUACGGGAGGCAGCAGUAGGGAAUCUUCGGUAAUGGACUAAAGUCUGACCGAGCAACGCCGCGUGAGCGAUGAAGGCCUUCGGGUCGUAACGCUCUGUUGUCAGAGAAGAACAAGUACCGGAGUAACUGCCGGUACCUUGACGGUACCUGACCAGAAAGCCACGGCUAACUACGUGCCAGCCGCCGCCGUAA
rnacentral:rRNA from 1 species